CGGACGGGUGAGUAAUGCCUAGGAAUCUGCCUGGUAGUGGGGACAACGUUUCGAAAGGAACGCUAAUACCGCAUACGUCCUACGGGAGAAAGCAGGGGACCUUCGGGCCUUGCGCUAUCAGAUGAGCCUAGGUCGGAUUAGCUAGUUGGUGAGGUAAUGGCUCACCAAGGCGACGAUCCGUAACUGGUCUGAGAGGAUGAUCAGUCACACUGGAACUGAGACACGGUCCAGACUCCUACGGGAGGCAGCAGCU
rnacentral:rRNA from 1 species